AAGUCGUAACAAGGUUUCCGUAGGUGAACCUGCGGAAGGAUCAUUAACACGUAUCCAACGUUAAACCCCCUGUGAACCUAUUGUACGAGUUACAUCCACGUCAUAAACCGGCAAUCUCUGGUAAAUCAUCGCCGAACAGUUUUGAUUCAGAGACCUCUGGGUGGCAUUCCUCUGCUUGUUACUCGCUAUGUACGGAUGGCGCAGUACCGAUCGCUGGAGGCCGACACGCCGGCGACCAGGUCACUGGGCUACGACCCCCUGAUCACAACCUUUGCAUGAAAACUGGCCUGCGGCCACCCCUAAUGCUUGAACAACUGUUAACAAUGGAUAUCUUGGUUCUC
rnacentral:misc_RNA from 1 species